rnacentral:tRNA from 1 species
GGAGAGAUGGCUCAGCAGUUAAGAGCACUAGCUGCUAUACCACAGGACCUGGGUUCAAUUCCCAGCAUCUACG